CGCGUAUAGAACCUACCUUUUACUGAGGAAUAGCCUUUAGAAAUGAAGAUUAAUGCCUCAUAGUAUCUAAGUAUUGCAUAGUACUAAGAUUAAAGAUUUAUUGGUAAAAGAUGGCUAUGCGUUCUAUUAGCUAGAUGGUAAGGUAACGGCUUACCAUGGCAACGAUAGAUAGGGGUCCUGAGAGGGAGAUCCCCCACACUGGUACUGAGACACGGACCAGACUCCUACGGGAGGCAGCAGUGAGGAAUAUUGGGCAAUGGAGGCAACUCUGACCCAGCCAUGCCGCGUGCAGGAAGACGG
rnacentral:rRNA from 1 species